CCUACGGGAGGCAGCAGUUGGGAAUCUUCGGCAAUGGGCGAAAGCCUGACCGAGCAACGCCGCGUGAGUGAUGAAGGUUUUCGGAUCGUAAACCUCUGUCCUCAGGGACGAAUAAAUGACGGUACCUGAGGAGGAAGCCCCGGCUAACUACGUGCCAGCAGCCGCGGUAAU
rnacentral:rRNA from 1 species